UUCUAAUAUAGAAGUACAUCAUAACACUGUUAGCCCACUCAGUCUGUUGAAGAAGAGAAUAUGUUCACCAAUAGUAGAGACAGAACGCCAACAACGAAGUCAUUCCAUUCAUAUGAAAAUCCAAUGACUCAGUUACACAAGAAAGUUACAUCAUUAACAGAGGUUUCACCUUUCACUCGUUAUUUUCCCUAGGAGGGUGAGGUGGUCUAGGAGGGAGAGGUGGGUGAGGUGGUCUAGGAGGGAGAGGAGGGUGAGGUGGUCUAGGAGGGAGAGGAGGGUGAGGUGGUCUAGGAGGGAGAGGUGGUCUUGGAGGGUGAGGUGGUCUAGGAGGGAGAGGUGGGUGAGGUGGUCUAGGAGGGAGAGGAGGGUGAGGUGGUCUAGGAGGGUGAGGUGGUCUAGGAGGGAGAGGAGGGUGAGGUGGUCUAGGAGGGUGAGGUGGUCUAGGAGGGAGAGGAGGGUGAGGUGGUCUAGGUGGGUGAGGUGGUCUAGGAGGGAGAGGAGGGUGAGGUGGUCUAGGAGGGAGAGGAGGGUGAGGUGGUCUAGGAGGGAGAGGAGGGUGAGGUGGUCUAGGAGGGAGAGGAGGGUGAGGUGGUCUAGGAGGGUGAGUUGGUCUAGGAGGGAGAGGUGGGUGAGGUGGUCUAGGAGGGAGAGGAGGGUGAGGUGGUCUAGGAGGGUGAGGUGGUCUAGGAGGGUGAGGUGGUCUAGGAGGGAGAGGAGGGUGAGGUGGUCUAGGAGGGAGAGGAGGGUGAGGUGGUCUUGGAGGGAGAGGAGGGUGAGGUGGUCUAGGAGGGUGAGGUGGUCUAGGAGGGUGAGGAGGUCUAGGAGGGUGAAGUGGUCUAGGAGGGUGAGGAGGUCGAGGAGGGUGAGAAGGUCUAGGAGGGUAAGGAGGUCUAGGGCGUGAGUUGGUUUAGGAAUUUCUUGUGAAUCACACUCCAACCAUAAACUGCUGUUAAUUUCCAUCCCUUUUUUUACUCCCCUCUUCUUUACCAUCCUCUGGUCAUUCUCACCAACUGUACUGGAGACAACAGAUUCACACAAUGCUUCCACCAUCGCUGAAUGUUCCAUACUGCACUUCACCUCCUUCUCAAAACACAUUGGAUGACACAACUCCAAUGGGUUUAGAGAAGGGAGAGAGGAAGUGAGGAGUGUGCAAUUGAGAUUUUCCACAUGUGUUUGAUCUAUCACACCUGAUUCAAUUUAUCAACUAAUCAUCAAGCCCUUGAUUGGGUGAAUCAGGUGAGCUGGUUCAGGGCUACAACAAAAUUACUGAUCUAGAUCAAGGCUAUUGAGUAACACAGUAUGCAGUCAUAAAACCCCGAAAUGGUUCCAAUCGUUUUUACACUAAUCAUUUUUCCAUCAGGGAUUUUAGAACUAUACGGUCUGUGUUUCGUGUAGGUGUGACAGAGUGAACAUUUUGAGUUUCCAUCCAACCUCCUGCGCGAUGUAGAUAUCAAAGAAUACCGCAGGUCGCGGGUAGAGUAGUGGGUGAAACCAUUCACUUCAAGAAAAAAUAAAGUUUCGUUAUGUGUUGUCGAAUUCAUACAAAUAUUUGCUGCCAUUGUAGUAAGGUUGGCAAUACGAGAGGUCUUCAGGAUGAACCAUUUUCUUUGAAAGAACAACUAGUGGGUUUCGAGUGCUUCUUCCUUAUUUGGGAAGUUGGUCUGUCUGCUCUUCAGUCUGAGAGAGAUUUUCUGAGAGCAGUGAACGUGUGGCUGUGAAAGUCCUGUUUUAAUGAAUGUCUUCACUGUUUUAUAUAUUUUACUGCAGAU